rnacentral:tRNA from 1 species
CUGGAAUAGCUCAGUUGGUAGAGCAGAGGACUGAAAAUCCUC